ACUGCUUCAUGGCAAGAGGUUACAUGCUGACAGCAUCUGGGGAAACCUCGCUGGGCCUCGGAGGUCCUUCCUAUGGGUGAUAUGCCACCCACCCUGGGUCGAGAGUCAGAGAAGGGCAGCCGGUCCCACUGCUGGCUUCGCCUGCCUGUUUCCCGCAGCUUCCCUCUAGUCAUCCACCUACACCUGCUGCCCAGUUCCCUAGAAACCUGCCUAGUGUAAAAGGAAGCAACUCUGGAGAACAGAAUCAGAAAUCAUAAAGCAAGGCCCUGUCCUCUGAGUUCUCUCCUGGAUGGGGACCAAGGAAGUUUUAUGUGGUCCAGAGAGGCUGCAUCAGUCUCAGGCCCCUAAGCCCUGCCUGGUUCAACAGUAUUAUUUCACUCACGCUGGUCAUCCCAUUGUUAGAAAGAGCAAGGAAAGAUGGAUGAGAAAGGAAGAGAGGGAGGGAGAAAAUUGUCCCCAAGAAAAGGAAACUAUUGUCCGGUAAGAUUCAGCCCACUUUUCUUGUUAAAUGAUGUGAAUUCAAAUUGUUGAUAUAUAUCACCAACAUGACAUGUGAAGCUAUUAUCUCAAAGCAUAUUAUAAAAUACCAUAUAUGAAAACAUUGACAAAUAUAAUGUAGAUGAUGAGUACCAGAUAUGAUUAUUGUUCUUUUCGUGUGUGAUUAAAGGUGACGGACAGAUGGUUUCCUCAACUUACAU
rnacentral:lncRNA from 1 species